rnacentral:rRNA from 1 species
CAGCAGCCGCGGGAAUACGUAGGUGGCAAGCGUUGUCCGGAAUUAUUGGGCGUAAAGGGCUCGCAGGCGGUUUCUUAAGUCUGAUGUGAGAGCCCCCGGCUCAACCGGGGAGGGUCAUCGGAAACUGGGAAACUUGAGUGCAGAAGAGGAGAGUGGAAUUCCACGUGUAGCGGUGAAAUGCGUAGAGAUGUGGAGGAACACCAGUGGCGAAGGCGACUCUCUGGUCUGUAACUGACGCUGAGGAGCGAAAGCGUGGGGAGCGAACAGGAUUAGAUACCCGCGUAGUCCCUGUCUCUUAUAU